rnacentral:rRNA from 1 species
CAAUAGCGUAUAUUAAAGUUGUUGCGGUAAAAAAACUCGUAGUUGGAUUUCUGUUGAGAGCGACCGGUCCAUACCAUGUAUGCGUAUCUGGCUUGCUCUCGGCAUCCUCUCGAUAGACGUUACUGCGCUUGAUUGCGUGGUGCGGAUCUCGGGACUUUUACUUUGAGGAAAUUAGAGUGUUCACGGCAGGCUUUCGCCAGAAUACAUUAGCAUGGAAUAAUACUAUAGGAUCUUGGUUCUAUUUUGUUGGUUUCUAGAAUUGAGAUAAUGAUUAAUAGGGACAAUUGGGGGCAUUCGUAUCAACACGUCAGAGGUGGAAUUCUUGGAUUGUGUUGCGACGAACUACUGCGAAAGCAUUUGCCAAGGAUGUUUUCAUUGA